GCGGAAAAGAGCCUCGGGCCAGGAGCGCAGGAACCAGACCGUGUCCCGCGGGGCUGUCACCUCCGCCUCUGCUCCCCGACCCGGCCAUGCGCGGCCUCGGGCUCUGGCUGCUGGGCGCGAUGAUGCUGCCUGGGCCUGCACCCAGAGAGGGUGAGCUACGUCCUUGGGGCCACAGGGCACAACUUCACCCUCCACCUGCGGAAGAACAGGGACCUGCUGGGCUCCGGCUACACAGAGACCUAUACGGCUGCCAAUGGCUCCGAGGUGACGGAGCAGCCUCGCGGGCAGGACCACUGCUUCUACCAGGGCCACGUAGAGGGGUACCCGGACUCAGCCGCCAGCCUCAGCACCUGUGCCGGCCUCAGGUGGGGUCAGACCUGCACCUGAUCGAGCCCCUGGAUGAAGGUGGCGAGGGCGGACGGCACGCCGUGUACCAGGCUGAGCACCUGCUGCAGACGGCCGGGACCUGCGGGGUCAGCGACGACAGCCUGGGCAGCCUCCUGGGACCCCGGACGGCAGCCGUCUUCAGGCCUCGGCCCGGGGACUCUCUGCCAUCCCGAGAGACCCGCUACGUGGAGCUGUAUGUGGUCGUGGACAAUGCAGAGUUCCAGAUGCUGGGGAGCGAAGCAGCCGUGCGUCAUCGGGUGCUGGAGGUGGUGAAUCACGUGGACAAGCUAUAUCAGAAACUCAACUUCCGUGUGGUCCUGGUGGGCCUGGAGAUUUGGAAUAGUCAGGACAGGUUCCACGUCAGCCCCGACCCCAGUGUCACACUGGAGAACCUCCUGACCUGGCAGGCACGGCAACGGACACGGCGGCACCUGCAUGACAACGUACAGCUCAUCACGGGUGUCGACUUCACCGGGACUACCGUGGGGUUUGCCAGGGUGUCCGCCAUGUGCUCCCACAGCUCAGGGGCUGUGAACCAGGACCACAGCAAGAACCCCGUGGGCGUGGCCUGUACCAUGGCCCAUGAGAUGGGCCACAACCUGGGCAUGGACCAUGAUGAGAACGUCCAGGGCUGCCGCUGCCAGGAACGCUUCGAGGCCGGCCGCUGCAUCAUGGCGGGCAGCAUUGGCUCCAGUUUCCCCAGGAUGUUCAGUGACUGCAGCCAGGCCUACCUGGAGAGCUUUUUGGAGCGGCCGCAGUCGGUGUGCCUCGCCAACGCCCCUGACCUCAGCCACCUGGUGGGCGGCCCCGUGUGUGGGAACCUGUUUGUGGAGCGUGGGGAGCAGUGCGACUGCGGCCCCCCCGAGGACUGCCGGAACCGCUGCUGCAACUCUACCACCUGCCAGCUGGCUGAGGGGGCCCAGUGUGCGCACGGUACCUGCUGCCAGGAGUGCAAGGUGAAGCCGGCUGGUGAGCUGUGCCGUCCCAAGAAGGACAUGUGUGACCUCGAGGAGUUCUGUGACGGCCGGCACCCUGAGUGCCCGGAAGACGCCUUCCAGGAGAACGGCACGCCCUGCUCCGGGGGCUACUGCUACAACGGGGCCUGUCCCACACUGGCCCAGCAGUGCCAGGCCUUCUGGGGGCCAGGUGGGCAGGCUGCCGAGGAGUCCUGCUUCUCCUAUGACAUCCUACCAGGCUGCAAGGCCAGCCGGUACAGGGCUGACAUGUGUGGCGUUCUGCAGUGCAAGGGUGGGCAGCAGCCCCUGGGGCGUGCCAUCUGCAUCGUGGAUGUGUGCCACGCGCUCACCACAGAGGAUGGCACUGCGUAUGAACCAGUGCCCGAGGGCACCCGGUGUGGACCAGAGAAGGUGUGCAACCACAAGCAGGAGUGCCACUGCCACGCGGGCUGGGCCCCGCCCCACUGCGCGAAGCUGCUGACUGAGGUGCACGCAGCGUCCGGGAGCCUCCCCGUCUUCGUGGUGGUGGUUCUGGUGCUCCUGGCAGUUGUGCUGGUCACCCUGGCAGGCAUCAUCGUCUACCGCAAAGCCCGGAGCCGCAUCCUGAGCAGGAACGUGGCUCCCAAGACCACAAUGGGGCGCUCCAACCCCCUGUUCCACCAGGCUGCCAGCCGCGUGCCGGCCAAGGGCGGGGCUCCAGCCCCAUCCAGGGGCCCCCAAGAGCUGGUCCCCACCACCCACCCGGGCCAGCCCGCCCGACACCCGGCCUCCUCGGUGGCUCUGAAGAGGCCGCCCCCUGCUCCUCCGGUCACUGUGUCCAGCCCACCCUUCCCAGUUCCUGUCUACACCCGGCAGGCACCAAAGCAGGGUGCUGUUGGCCCAAAGGUUGCCCUGAAGCCCCCCAUCCAGAGGAAGCAAGGAGCCGGAGCUCCCACAGCACCCUAGGGGGGCACCUGCGCCUGUGUGGAAAUUUGGAGAAGUUGCGGCAGAGAAGCCAUGCGUUCCAGCAUUCCACGGUCCAGCUAGUGCCGCUCAGCCCUAGACCCUGACUUUGCAGGCUCAGCUGCUGUUCUAACCUCAGGAAUGCAUCUACCUGAGAGGCUCCUGCUGUCCACGCCCUCAGCCAAUUCCUUCUCCCCGCCUUGGCCACGUGUAGCCCCAGCUGUCUGCAGGCACCAGGCUGGGAUGAGCUGUGUGCUUGCGGGUGCGUGUGUGUGUACGUGUCUCCAGGUGGCCGCUGGUCUCCCGCUGUGUUCAGGAGGCCACAUAUACAGCCCCUCCCAGCCACACCUGCCCCUGCUCUGGGGCCUGCUGAGCCGGCUGCCCUGGGCACCCGGUUCCAGGCAGCACAGACGUGGGGCAUCCCCAGAAAGACUCCAUCCCAGGACCAGGUUCCCCUGCGUGCUCUUCGAGAGGGUGUCAGUGAGCAGACUGCACCCCAAGCUCCCGACUCCAGGUCCCCUGAUCUUGGGGCCUGUUUCCCAUGGGAUUCAAGAGGGACAGCCCCAGCUUUGUGUGUGUUUAAGCUUAGGAAUCGCCUUUAUGGAAAGGGCUAUGUGGGAGAGUCAGCUAUCUUGUCUGGUUUUCUUGAGACCUCAGAUGUGUGUUCAGCAGGGCUGAAAGCUUUUAUUCUUUAAUAAUGAGAAAUGUAUAUUUUACUAAUAAAUUAUUGACCGAGUUCUGU
rnacentral:lncRNA from 1 species